GACAAUCGAUGUGAGCUGUCACAUGAAGUGAAAAGGUUUGCAGGAUCCCACAUGUGAACUGGACUCAAAUAAAACAUGGAAACUAGUUUAGAAGCCACCUACACCAGAUAACACCAGAUCAUCUUGCUACAUUUCAUUUUGGAUUCACCAGAAGACAAAAUGGGUGUUGGAUUGAUGACAUCAAUUUUGCUGGUGCUGACAGUGCCGAGGGAAGAUGUUGUGACAUCAAUGGCAGAAGCAACAACCACAGGAUCUAUGACAACAGCUGCAACUGGAGGGAUGGCAACAAGUGCCUCAGCAAGAACGGGAGGUUUGACGACAGCACGAGAGUCAACUACGACAACUGGUGGAACAACAACUGAAAAUGUUCCCAUCCCGGUUGUGGUUCUUGGACUAAAUUAUUUAAGACGGUUUAAAGAUAACUUCAAUGACAGGAACAGUUCACACUUCAAACUCAUUGAGGGAGUAAUCAUUCAUGACUUUGACAACUUCUUCACGGCUCAAUAUGGCUUCCUCUUUGUUGGCACUUCUGUCAGACUGUUUCGGU